rnacentral:piRNA from 1 species
GAUAUGCAAGGAGGUUGAGC